AGGGCCCGACGUGGCCAGGCUUCCCGACAGUCCAUAGCCGGCCGCAGGAACUCGAUAGUAUGAUCCAGGCCUCAGAAACGAACGUUGGCGGCGUUGAUUAGGCCAUGCAAGUCGAAGGGAAUCCCAGCAAUGGGGAACCGGCGUAAGGGGCAGUAAUGCAUGGGGUACCUACCUUUGGGUUCGGGAUAGCCAUCAGAGAUGGUGGGUAAUACCGGAUGACGUCUAGCGACCAAAGAUUUAUCGCCCGGAGAGGGGCCCAUGUGAUAUUAGGUAGUUGGUGAGGUAACGGCUCACCAAGCCGAAGAUGUCCAGCGGGUGUGAGAGCACGACCCGCGCCACUCGCACUGAGACACUGGCGAGACACCUACGGGUGGCUGCAGUCGAGGAUCUUCGUCAAUGGGGGCAACCCUGAACGAGCGACGCCGCGUGUGCGAUGAAGGCCUUCGGGUUGUAAAGCACUGUCGAGGGGGAGAAAAGGAAACUUGAUCUAUCCCUGGAGGAAGCACGGGCUAAGUUCGUGCCAGCAGCCGCGGUAAGACGAACCGUGCGAACGUUGUUCGGAAUCACUGGGCUUAAAGGGCGCGUAGGCGGGCUGUCAAGUCUGGGGUGAAAUCCCGCGGCUCAACCGUGGAACUGCCUCAGAUACUGACGGCCUCGAGGAAGGUAGGGGCGAGCGGAACUGUGAGUGGAGCGGUGAAAUGCGUUGAUAUUCACAGGAACUCCGGUGGCGAAGGCGGCUCGCUGGACCUUUUCUGACGCUGAGGCGCGAAAGCUAGGGGAGCAAACGGGAUUAGAUACCCCGGUAGUCCUAGCCCUAAACGAUGGGUACUAGAUAGUAGGCUAGAUCUGGGCUUACUGUCGAAGCUAAAGUGCUAAGACCCGCCUGGGA
rnacentral:rRNA from 1 species